rnacentral:tmRNA from 1 species
GGGGCUGCCUGGUAUUGACGGGAAAGUGUAGUCGGUUCGUAAGCAUGCCGGAGCAUGAGCGGUUACUCCGUUAAAAACAACGUUCAAACAAUAGUUGGCAACACUCAGUUUGCCAUGGCAGCCUAAUUCUAGAGAGUUAGAAUGCCUUUGCGCCGCGUGAGGCCACCCGCUCAGCGGGUCCCCUCCCUGCCUUGAAGCCUGCUACACAGGACGCCGCGUAUCAAACCUUUGUAGGCUGGUCUGACAGAAGUCUCGGCUGUUGGAUGAGAUUUAGAGGAUAAGGUGUGGUCGGUUGGUCCCGGAACCAAACCACGCUCGAAAACCCAAUCUGGUACUAAGCAUGUAGAAAGCGUCUCGACGCUUUGUCCGGACGCGGGUUCGAAUCCCGCCAGCUCCACCA